CUGUUGGAAUCAUGUGGCCUAAUGUUCUUCAUAUAAUCGGACCGACGAAGUAUCCAAUUUUUGCAGAAUUAUCUUUCAGAUCAGCACUUGUUUUUCUAACAUUUAUUUUGGCCGU